rnacentral:rRNA from 1 species
UACGUAGGGUGCGAGCGUUGCCCGGAUUUAUUGGGCGUAAAGGGCGCGUAGGCGGCUCGGCACGUCCGUUGUGAAAUCGCCCGGCUCAACUGGGCGGGGUCAGCGGAUACGGCCGAGCUUGAGCAAGCUAGGGGGCAAUGGAAUUCCCGGUGUAGUGGUGGAAUGCGUAGAUAUCGGGAGGAACACCAGUGGCGAAGGCGGUUGCCUGGAGCUUUGCUGACGCUGAUGCGCGAAAGCGUGGGGAGCGAGUCCGG